CGAAAAGGUCGUCCAGUUACUAAAAGAAAGGUUGCCAAAGUAGAUCAAAUAGUGAAUCGGUUGAAGGCAAGCAAAAGAAAACACAACAAAUCAAAGGUGCUUGGAGGUGAAGGUGAAGGUCAAUGUCAAUCUCAACCUGAAUGUAGUGUACGUAGAGAGCUUUAUCCUUAUGUGGUUGGCAUGGAAAAUAAUAUGUGUGUGCCGGGACACAUGGUCAAUGCUAUUGGAGGCACAUCUCUCACCCCGACAAGUGUGGACAUUAUGAGAAGACAAAGUUUCAUAAAUCCCCCAACUCAGAUUUAUGGAGUUGGCACAUCGCUUACCCCGUCGGACUGUAUUGGAGGCACACCGGGAUUUACGAGAACUCAACAAUCCAUGACU